rnacentral:rRNA from 1 species
UACGAAGGGUGCAAACGUUGCUCGGAAUUAUUGGGCGUAAAGCGCACGUAGGCGGCUUGGCAAGUCGGAUGUGAAAUCCCUCGGCUCAACCAAGGAAGUGCAUCCGAAACUGCUGAGCUUGAGUACUUAAGAGGAUCGCGGAGUUCCCGGUGUAGAGGUGAAAUUCGUAGAUAUCGGGAGGAACACCAGUGGCGAAGGCGGCGAUCUGGGAAGAUACUGACGCUGAGGUGCGAAAGCGUGGGGAGCAAACAGG